GAAUGACAAUGAGUAUGUUGUUCAAGAACAACAUACUGAACAACAACCUACUGAAGAACAACAUACUGAACAUCAAGAGGAAACCCAAAGGGAACAUCAAGAGGAAUGUGGUAGUGAUAUAAGCAUAGACGGUAGGGAUGCAGACUUGCUAAUGACUAUAAGAGAUAUAUCGGAUAGUCUAAGUCAUCAAAUUCAGAAAGAAACAGACCUGCCACAAAUGAUUACUACCCUUCCAUUUGUGAGCCAACCUCUUGCACUUUGUGAAUUGGCUCCAUUGGAUCAAACUGUACAAAUUGUAAAUGAAGAAUCUCAACUGG